rnacentral:tRNA from 1 species
GGAGAGGUGCUUGGAGUGGCUAAUCAGUCAGGUUUCGAAAACCUUGAGAGCCGAAAGGUUCACGUGAGUUCGAAUCUCACCCUCUCCGCCA